rnacentral:rRNA from 1 species
UACGGAGGAUCCAAGCGUUAUCCGGAUUUAUUGGGUUUAAAGGGUGCGUAGGUGGCCUGUUAAGUCAGGGGUGAAAGACGGUAGCUUAACUAUCGCAGUGCCCUUGAUACUGAUGGGCUUGAAUAAACUGGAGGUAGGCGGAAUGUGACAAGUAGCGGUGAAAUGCAUAGAUAUGUCACAGAACACCAAUUGCGAAGGCAGCUUACUAUGGUUUUAUUGACACUGAGGCACGAAAGCGUGGGGAUCAAACAGG